rnacentral:rRNA from 1 species
UACGUAGGGUGCGAGCGUUAAUCGGAAUUACUGGGCGUAAAGCGUGCGCAGGCGGCUUGCUAAGACAGGUGUGAAAGCCCCGAGCUUAACUUGGGAAUGGCGCUUGUGACUGGCAGGCUGGAGUGUGGCAGAGGGAGGUGGAAUUCCACGUGUAGCAGUGAAAUGCGUAGAUAUCUGGAGGAACACCGGUGGCGAAGGCGGCAUCCUGGACCAACACUGGCGCUGAGUGAGCGAAAGCCAGGGGAGCAAACGGG